rnacentral:lncRNA from 1 species
CCGGCUGUGUGUGUUACCAUGUUUACGUCCCAAAAGGGCACCCUAUUCCCUUCAUAUAGUGCACUACUUGUGUCCAGGGCCCAUGGGGAUCUGAUCAAAAGUGGUGCGCUAUAUAGGGAGUAGGGUGCCAUUUGGGACUUAUCCUCUGAGAUGGGUUCAGUUUCUCUCCGGACAGCAAGAUGAACACCGGGGUCACACCCCAGCACUAUAAAGAAGCACCCUUCCUUCCUUCCUUCCUUCUUACUCUCCUUGUCCUUUGUGACAUCACUGACUUGACACAACUUGAAAGUGUAAAAGCUUGAACUCCAUUUUUUCAGUCAUAUCUGAUUCAUUGAUUAUUUCAAGAAAGGAGGCAGAGAGGGAAGAAAGGAGGCAGAGAGGGAAGGAAGGAGGGAACGAGGGGAAAAAGAGGAAGGAUGAGUGAAGAGAGGAGGGAGAGAGGGAAGGAAGGAGGGAACGAGGGAGGGAAGGAAGGAGGGAAGGAAGAGAGGGAAGAAAGGAGGGAAGGAAGAGAGGGAAGAAAAGAGGGAAGGAAGAGAGGGAAGAAAAGAGGGAAGAAAGGAGGGAAGGAAGGAAGAGGGGGAGGGCGGGGUACAUUUUAAAGGUGUUGGAAUGUGGCUCUUGCCUUACAGCUCUGACCUGUAAAUGAACACACGCCACUGAUAUAUAUAUAUAUAAAUAAAUAAAUAAAUAUUAUAUACGAUGAAAAGUCCCUAAAAAUAAUUGGAUUAUGUUGUUGGGAGGGAGAACGGCUAAUCUGCCUUGUGCUCAAUUCCCUUUUGGUUUUUUAGAGAAUUGACUGUAAAAAAUAAAAAUAACAUUUUUUAUGAUGCUAUAAAAAAUAGUUUUGUCUUGUUCAUAACCUCCUUUCUCUCAUCCUGUUUUUCUCUGUAUCAAGUUCAGAUAUUCAAGAGUUUAAAGACCUCUGUUUUUAUUUAAACAGUAGGAAUAAUAACAAUGGCUGGGCUGAUGGUCAGUUCAGUGAGUUGGAGCCUUUGAUUGCCCUGCCUCUGGGAGCCUGUCGACUUGUUACAUGAUUACUGAGUGAAAGAGAGCC